rnacentral:rRNA from 1 species
UACGAAGGGGGGCUAGCGUUGUUCGGAAUUACUGGGCGUAAAGGGCGCGUAGGCGGUCUGAUAAGUUAGGUGUGAAAUUCCCGGGCUUAACCUGGGCGCUGCACUUAAUACUGUUGGGCUUGAAUUCGGGAGAGGAUAGUGGAAUUCCCAGUGUAGAGGUGAAAUUCGUAGAUAUUGGGAAGAACACCAGUGGCGAAGGCGACUAUCUGGACCGACAUUGACGCUGAGGCGCGAAGCGUGGGGAGGCAAACAGG